AUGGAGGUGGAACGCGUGAAGAAGCUGGCGAGGGAAGAAGAAAAGGCCCAAAGCAGAAUAAUCCAGGGAAUCCCGGAGGAAUGUCUGGCGAAGGCCAUCGGUCUGACCUCGCCAGCCGACGCCUGCCGCGCGGCCGCAGUGUCCACCGCGUUCCGGUCGGCGGCGGACUUGGACGCGGUGUGGACACGGUUCCUGCCGCCGGACUGCGACGCCGUCCUGGAGCGGGCCGUCCACCUCGUGGAUGCUCCCUCCAAGAAGGAGCUCUUCAUGGACCUCAGCAACGAACACGUCGUCCUCGACGAUGGCAAAAUGAGUUUUGGGCUGGAGAGAUCGAACGGCGCCAAAUGCUACAUGUUGUCAGCAAGCGAGCUGGUAAUCGAAUGGAUGCAUGAAAAUCUUUACUGGACAAGGAGGACCGACCCUGAUUCAAGGUUCUCCAAGGUGGCAGAGCUUCUCUCAGUCUGCUGGCUCCACAUCUACGGCACGAUCAACAGCAGGGAGCUCACUCCAGCCACCCACUACGCGGCCUACCUCGUCUUCAAGCUCACCCAUGAUGCCUCAGGCCUCAGUUCCCCGCGGCAGACAUCGUUCGUCAAGGUAGGUGGCGGGCCGUGUCUCCAGUCCUGCCGGCCUUCCAGCACCAGCGGCGGUGCCUCUUCAUCCCUGCUGGUGGGGAGCACCCACACAGUGUCUCUCCAUCCCUGCAACCGUGCUUCAUGCACCCGUAACGGCGCUGCGGCUGCGGAGCCGCACGAGCACGAGCAAGGAGGAGGAGUCGGCGGUGUCGUGAGGUACCCGCGGCAUCGGGUCGACGGGUGGUUGGAACUGGAGAUGGGCGACUUCCACACGGACACGGACAUAUGCGGUGGGGAUGAUGUUAUGAUGGAAGUGCAUGAGUGGGAGGAGCUCAAGUGGAAGAAGGGACUCAUCAUCGAAGGAAUCGAGAUCAGGCCUAGAAAUUAA
rnacentral:rRNA from 1 species